rnacentral:rRNA from 1 species
UACGUAGGCAGCGAGCGUUGUUCGGAGUUACUGGGCGUAAAGCGUGCGUAGGCGGUGUCUUAAGUUUGUUGUGAAAUCUCCCGGCUUAACCGGGAGGGUGCGGCGAAUACUGAGAUGCUGGAGUGCCGGAGAGGUAAGCGGAAUUCCUGGUGUAGCGGUGAAAUGCGUAGAUAUCAGAGGAACACCUGCGGUGUAGACGGCUUACUGGACGGUAACUGACGCUGAGGCACGAAAGCGUGGGUAGCAAACAGG